GGACUGUUGCUACCCCAUACUAGUGUAUGUACACACAGUUGGAAGAGGCUUGAUAUGAAGUGUUGAAACAGUCCAAAUCUUUCUUCAGGGUUUUUCUUUCACAGCUCUAUUCCGAUAUAUGUUUACAAAGACUUUUCAAAGACUUUUCAUUGGAAGUGGUUGCCGAGGUCGGUGUGAACAUAGCAUUGUAGGCAUUGUAGGCAAAUGCAACCAGAGAAUUUGCACUUCUGUAUUGUUACGAAAGAGAUAAGCCUGCGACCACCAUGACCCAAAACUCAAGAAAAAAGCAAGUAAUAGAGGCAUUUAAAUUCAAAUAAAAAAAAAAACAGAUUUUGAAAUGAGAAGACAGUCAGCUGAAGCAGCAAUCGGUGAAUAUACACAACAACACUAUCCAACAACAGAAUCCAAUAUUUCUUUAUCUUUGCAUUGUGGAUAUUUAUAGAACUUCUUCAGUCAAAACAGUGUAAUAAAAUGAUCUUGUCCAUAGAAAGACAAUGUCAUCCAUACAAGAUGAGCGUGAAAACAGGACUGUUAAAUACUCAAAGUUUCUGGGAAAGGAGUUUGAUACAGAAAGAGACUUGUGUCCCCCACCUUGAAGAGGUUUGACAUAUUGAUUUUGCGGAGCUGAAUAAAAGCAUGCCAUUUGAAAGCUGUCUAUUGAUUCAGACUCAACAAAGACACUGAUGCCUUUUAAGAUAACUUUUAAAUUGAAACACCAGCAGCAGAAAUAACAUACUUUGAAAGAAGAAUCCUUCCUUCUAGUUUUAUGGUUGUUAAAUUGACAUUUGAGUCUACAUUCACACCCCUCUCAAGCAAUGCUCAUUCAAGCGGCAACAAAAGCCUAUGUAAACGUGUGUUUCAGGCUACUGCGUUGAAAACUCUUGCAAUCCCAAGUAGCUAUGCACGUUUCUACGCCCAUUUUCAAGCUCUACAUAGAAAAUGUGUGGCCAUUAAACGCAUGUUGCAAAUUCAACCAAAUCACACUUUAGCCAAUCAGAGACUGGUAGUGAUGCAUGGAUGACGUCACUUUUAAUUUGUGGAAGUGCCAAAUUGAUCAUGGAGGAGAAACUAAUAAUUGCCGUUUGUGCCCGGCCAGAACUCUCUGACACCACGUCUUAUAUGUCUUGGAAUAGAGCUGGAAAGAGAAAAAGCCUGGUUCGAAAUUUGGAAGAAUUGCACCACGUUAACAUUUUUCACCAAACCUCUUCUAACUGGAGGUGGUGGACAUGGUACAAGAAAAGGAACCCCCUCCCUGAGUUUUUGUGUUCUUACAUGUAUACCAAAUGCCUGGUGUGUCUGUAGCUUAAAAGAGCCAUACUAUAAAACAUUUAAUUUUUUAGAUUUUAAGUGUAUUAUUAUGUUCAUUUCUCGCUAUAAACGACCUCAAAGCAUUUUUUGGAUCAGUUUACGCAUUUCUGAGUAAUCCUCUAAAAACAUGCGUUCUCAACAGCAGCCCCUCCCAUACCCACAAAAAUGAGCAGGUCCUCAUGACCUGACAGCCCCCAUCAGGAAGAGUCUCAUCUGCCCCCAAGCUAACAAAAACAAAACAAGCAGCUCGAGCUAGCGGUGAUCCACUAGCUUCACCCCCCCAGCUAGUCAGGAAACUCUCAUUCUUUGGUGUUCAAACUUCGUGCGGUGGCAUAGGAAAACAUGGGCUGGUGAGAAGUCUGCACAACAUGUUGAGAUGAAUCCAAAUUAGAAUGGCGCAAGCAGACGGGGGAUAUUGGUAGGACGGCAGAAGAAAGGGAGCAGACUAUUUCCUGGUGGAAGAAUACUCUGCAAUAUAACAAAGCAUUACAAACAAAAAACUGGUAUAAAUGUAACCGGGUGGUAACAAGUGUAUUUUAGUUACUGGACUUGUUGUGUAUGUUCCACUUUUGGACAGCAGAGGGCGUAGUUUUUACUAUUCAGAUAGCGCCAAUUUCACAUAGAGGAUUAUGGGAAAAUCCCAAAAGACAGGAGAAAAAGGGGGUAGACUGCACGUUGCAUCGGUGUCUUGAAUGGUGAAAUUUGAGAACGUUGUUUCUGUUGGCUUCAGGGACAUGUGUCCAUUUGGUAGGAUUUCUUUAUUUAAAAUGGUACAAUGGGAUAAGUAUUGUAAAUAAAUGAAACAGUGAAAUGACAUGUUUGUUUUAAUUUCUCCAUUUAGGUGCCACUGUUGUAUUCUUCUUGUUAACUUUUUAAGUUUGAAUGUUUAUUUAGUUUUUUUUUAAAACUGCCAAACAGGGAAAAUAAAGGAUCCCACUAUAAAUUA